UACGGGGGGGGCAAGCGUUGUUCGGAAUUACUGGGCGUAAAGGGCUCGUAGGCGGCCAACUAAGUCAGACGUGAAAUCCCUCGGCUUAACCGGGGAACUGCGUCUGAUACUGGAUGGCUUGAGUGUGGGAGAGGGAUGCGGAAUUCCAGGUGUAGCGGUGAAAUGCGUAGAUAUCUGGAGGAACACCGGUGGCGAAGGCGGCAUCCUGGACCAGUACUGACACUGAAUAGCGAAAGCCAGGGGAGCAAACGGG
rnacentral:rRNA from 1 species